rnacentral:lncRNA from 1 species
GUUGGUGUGCUUCGACGCUCCCCUCAACAACCUAUCUAGUUAACGGUCCCGUUCUCUACAAUCAUAAGCCCCAUCCCUAGAACAAAAUAGGGAUUUAAAGAGGUCCAUUUCAGGACACCUCGAAAGUUCCUUCCCUAAGAUGUCAGAGUCUGAUCGAAGCGAGCAAGAGAUAGAGGAAUCAUCGCUCAUAGAUGUGAAUUGAGAAAGCAAGCCCGAAUUCCUUUUUAAUUAGGCUCUAUAGUCUGGUCCCUGUCCCUGGUAAGGUCUGAUUGUUAUCCGCAAGUCUUGCGCGGGAAGGUGAACUUUGCAAAAGUGCUUAUUUGGUUGGGAAAGAGAGGACUUCUGACUCCAAGCCUACCCGAAAACAAGAUUCAGCUA